UGGAAGUAUGCAAGACUUAACAGCUCAAGUGACGAGUGAGCUCCUGCAUUUCCCUGAAGUGACAAUUGAAGCUCUUGGAGAAGAUGAGAUAACAUUAGAGUCCGUGCUUCGUGGAAAGUUUGCUGCAGGGAAAAAUGGACUAGCAUGCUUAGCUUGUGGACCACAACUUGAAGUGGUAAACUCUCUAUCAGGAGAGCGGUUGUCUGCAUAUCGAUUCAGCGGAGUAAAUGAACAGCCUCCUGUAGUUCUUGCAGUGAAAGAAUUCUCUUGGCAUAAGAGAACUGGAUUGUUAGUAGGAUUGGAAGAAGCAGACGGGAGCGUCCUGUGUCUUUAUGACCUUGGUAUAUCAAGAGUAGUCAAAGCUGUUGUUCUUCCUGGAAGGGUAACAGCUAUUGAGCCUAUAAUUAAUCAUGGAGGAGCCAGCGCAAGCACCCAGCACUUACAUCCAAGUCUGCGAUGGCUUUUUGGAGUGGCAGCCGUGGUAACUGACGUUGGACAGAUCCUCCUUAUUGACUUAUGUUUAGAUGACUUGUCAUGCAGUCAAAACGAAGUAGAAGCAUCAGAUCUUGAAGUUAUUACUGGUAUCCCCUCGGAAGUGCCGCACAUCCGAGAGAGGGUGAUGAGGGAAGGGCGCCACCUGUGUCUCCAGUUAGUAAGCCCAUCGGGGACAGCCGUUUCUACUGUCAGCUACAUUAGCAGGACAAAUCAGCUUGCUGUGGGGUUUUCUGAUGGCUACCUAGCACUUUGGAAUAUGAAAAGCAUGAAAAGAGAGUAAGUAUAAUUCUUUUUCUUUUAGUUGAUGACUGAUUUCUUUUAAAAUAUAAUGUAUUAUUUGAAAACUAGUAUGAGAAAUGACAGAAAAGUUUUAUUGAAUCAAUUUAUACUUUGAUAAGGAACUUGUCAUGUGAGUUUAGGUUGGUUCUUUUGGGGUUUAUAGUUUGUCAGAGAAUGAAGAUUGGAGGCUAGUGUGAACAGACCUGGAUUUAUAGUGUGCCCUAGCUCAAAGAGAAGAAAGAGAAAGGGACAUUCAAGUAUGGAUAAAAUAGAUGUAUAGUAGGAAAUCUCUGUGGGCCCUGGCUGCCUGUAAUUUUUUUAAAAGCACCAAUUUAAGUGUACUUGGUAAUUUUUAUGCUGUCAAAAUUUCCCUUAAAUAUAAUUUAAUUGAAACUUGUAUGGGGAUAAAAACAGCAUAUAAUACGGAAGGAGAUAGCAAAUUAAACACCAGAUUUUAAGCCAAGCAUUGGUGGCACACACCUUUAAUCACAGCACUCAGGAGGCAGAGGCAGCCAGAUCUCUGAGUUUGAGGCCAGCCUUUGUCUACAAAAGCUACACAGAGAAACCCUACCUUGAAAAAUCAAAAUAAUAAUAAUAAUAAUAAUUUAAAAAAACACCAGAUUUUAGUUUUUAGUUAAGAGGUAUGUUAACUAAAAUUAACAUUUUAAAUUUUCAGUUUAUUUCUUUAUCUUUUUUUUUUUUUUAAUUUUAUCCCCAG
rnacentral:lncRNA from 1 species